GGAAAGCAGGUAAGGCAAACACAGUGAACCGCACAUGCGCAAUAGACAGUGACCAAACCCCCUCAUCGCAGCAAGUUUGGCUGCGCAUACACAAACCU